rnacentral:rRNA from 1 species
GAUGAACGCUGGCGGCGUGCCUAAUACAUGCAAGUCGAGCGAACGGACGAGAAGCUUGCUUCUCUGAUGUUAGCGGCGGACGGGUGAGUAACACGUGGAUAACCUACCUAUAAGACUGGGAUAACUUCGGGAAACCGGAGCUAAUACCGGAUAAUAUUUUGAACCGCAUGGUUCAAAAGUGAAAGACGGUCUUGCUGUCACUUAUAGAUGGAUCCGCGCUGCAUUAGCUAGUUGGUAAGGUAACGGCUUACCAAGGCAACGAUGCAUAGCCGACCUGAGAGGGUGAUCGGCAACACUGGAACUGAGACACGGUCCAGACUCCUACGGGAGGCAGCAGUAGGGAAUCUUCCGCAAUGGGCGAAAGCCUGACGGAGCAACGCCGCGUGAGUGAUGAAGGUCUUCGGAUCGUAAAACUCUGUUAUUAGGGAAGAACAAAUGUGUAAGUAACUGUGCACAUCUUGACGGUACCUAAUCAGAAAGCCACGGCUAACUACGUG